rnacentral:lncRNA from 1 species
UGCUGAGUUUUCCAGCGUUUAUCUUUCUCCCGCGCUGGAUGCUUCCUGCCUUUGAACAUCAGACUCCAAGUUCUUUGGCUUCUGGACUCUUGGACUUACACCAGUGGUUUGUCGGGGCUCUCAGGUCUUCUGCCACAGACUGAAGGCUAUACUGUCAGCUUCCCUACUUUUGAGGUUUUGGGACUCGGACUGAGCCACUGCUGGCUUCCUCGCUCCUCAGCUUGCACGCGGCCUAUCGGGGGACUUCACCUUGUGAGCGUAAUGCUGACUUGGUUUAUGUAUCUAUCUCUUUCCCACACCAUCUAUGCCUCAGAGAAAUCUUCACAAACUCAGCUUCAAGGAUGGGUCAGAGCCUUGGAAACUGCAUCUGCCUGGCUGUCAUUUUCUGCAAGUGCUGGUGUAAUUUCAAGAUUUGCUUGCCAAAUGCAUUAUAGCAUACUGGACAAAAACAAGGACUGCUGGGAUGAAAUUGAGAUUAUGAAGCUCUUGAGG